rnacentral:rRNA from 1 species
UGGGGAAUAUUGCACAAUGGGGGAAACCCUGAUGCAGCGACGCCGCGUGAGCGAUGAAGGCUUUCGAGUCGUAAAGCUCUGUCCUAUGGGAAGAUAAUGACGGUACCAUAGAAGAAAGCCCCGGCUAAUUACGUGCCAGCAGCCGCGGUAAUACGUAAGGGGCGAGCGUUGUCCGGAAUUAUUGGGCGUAAAGAGUGCGUAGGCGGCAAAUUAAGUCAGAUGUGAAAACUAAGGGCUCAACCCAUAGAUUGCAUCUGAAACUGAUAUGCUUGAGUCAAGGGGAGGAAAGUGGAAUUCCUAGUGUAGCGGUGGAAUGCGUAGAUAUUAGGGGGAAUACCGGUGACGAAGGCGACUUUCUGGACUUGAACUGACGCUGAGGCACGAAAGCGUGGGGAGCAAACAGG